rnacentral:rRNA from 1 species
GAUGAACGCUGGCGGCGUGCCUAAUACAUGCAAGUCGAGCGAACAGAUGAGGAGCUUGCUCCUCUGACGUUAGCGGCGGACGGGUGAGUAACACGUGGAUAACCUACCUAUAAGACUGGGAUAACUUCGGGAAACCGGAGCUAAUACCGUAUAAUAUAUUGAACCGCAUGGUUCAAUAGUGAAAGACGGUUUUGCUGUCACUUAUAGAUGGAUCCGCGCCGCAUUAGCUAGUUGGUAAGGUAACGGCUUACCAAGGCAACGAUGCGUAGCCGACCUGAGAGGGUGAUCGGCCACACUGGAACUGAGCCACGGUCCAGACUCCUACGGGAGGCAGCAGUAGGGAAUCUUCCGCAAUGGGCGAAAGCCUGACGGAGCAACGCCGCGUGAGUGAUGAAGGUCUUCGGAUCGUAAAACUCUGUUAUUAGGGAAGAACAAAUGUGUAAGUAACUAUGCACGUCUUGACGGUACCUAAUCAGAAAGCCACGGCUAACUACGUG